rnacentral:rRNA from 1 species
UACGUAGGUGACAAGCGUUGUCCGGAUUUACUGGGCGUAAAGGGCUCGUAGGCGGCCAACUAAGUCAGACGUGAAAUCCCUCGGCUUAACCGGGGAACUGCGUCUGAUACUGGAUGGCUUGAAUCCGGGAGAGGGAUGCGGAAUUCCAGGUGUAGCGGUGAAAUGCGUAGAUAUCUGGAGGAACACCGGUGGCGAAGGCGGCAUCCUGGACCGGCAUUGACGCUGAGGAGCGAAAGCCAGGGGAGCAAACGGG